AGUAAAGACAUAAGUUGACUGCUUUAUG
rnacentral:piRNA from 1 species